rnacentral:misc_RNA from 1 species
AAAGAAAUGUGAUUGUGGUGGAAUCUCGUUCGCACCCACAUCUACAUGUUUGACGGCAAAUGCUAGAGUGACAGGUCAGUGACCUACUCUUGGUCGAUAGGGUUGUGUAACCGAUGCCAUCCUUUUGACCAAACUGCAAAAGAAGGUUAGACCCUUCCCUUCCCCUUCUCCCACGCCCUUUAUCAACAGAGCACCUCUCUUCGUUUUCAUUUCACUCGCUUUAAUCUCUCUUUCUCCUCUCUUUUCUCUCAUGGUCUUGUUUCAGUAGUCAUGGCUGUAGACCUCAUGAUGGCUUUUAGGAACGAUGGUUUUGUUACUAAAUUGGAAGAGAACGCAGUCCAAGAGGCUGCU